UGUCCCCAGGAAGGGGGAAUGCUGAGUGACCUAGCUGGAGGGCUAGGUCACAAAGGAGACACUGAGGAUCCUGGAGCAAAAGAGGAGCUGCAGACCAGAGGAUGUCUACCUCAAGAGCUUUGUAAACAGGGACCGCUAACAGGAAGCUUUGAGAGGGAGUUCUCCAGGUGAAGGAGGAGCAAAUACAGGACCCUCGGGAUGCUUUUGGAAGCUAAACUAUGUGAGCAAAAGUUCGUUAACUACAAAAUAUUGAUUGGACCAAUUGCCAUCAGAAAACAUCACGUGAGAAAGGAUCUCAGAUGAAAAUGAAUGAAUUGAAAUGUCUCAUCUAGAAGUUGUGGAAACAAAUGCAUCUCUGCAUCUGCAGUGACCUCAUCUUGCAUUACUGUUAAUAUAAAUUUUUCUUCCUAUAAGAUGAUUGGCCUGUGCACUUUUGCACUAGAUUUCAAAAAACAUUUAUUGUAAAGUGAAUGUUUUUAAGGAAUGUAAACUCAAAAUCACAGUAGCUGUAUAAG